rnacentral:rRNA from 1 species
UAGUGGCAGACGGGUGAGUAAUGUAUAGGAAUCUACCUAGUAGUACGGAAUAAUUGUUGGAAACGGCAACUAAUACCGUAUACGCCCUACGGGGGAAAAAUUUAUUGCUAUUAGAUGAGCCUAUAUUAGAUUAGCUUGUUGGUAGGGUAAUGGCUUACCAAGGCAAUGAUCUAUAGCUGAUCUGAGAGGAUGAUCAGCCACACUGGAAUUGAGAUACGGUCCAGACUCCUACGGGAGGCAGCAGUGGGGAAUAUUGGACAAUGGGCGAAAGCCUGAUCCAGUCAUGCCGCAUGAGUGAAGAAGGCCUUUGGGUUGUAAAGCUCUUUUAGUGAGGAAGAUAAUGAUGGUACUCACAGAAGAAGUCCUGGCUAACUCCGUGCCAGCAGCCGCGGUAAUACGGAGAGGGCUAGCGUUAUUCGGAAUUAUUGGGCGUAAAGGGCGCGUAGGCGGAUUAGUAAGUUAAAAGUGAAAUCCCAAGGCUCAACCUUGGAAUUGCUUUUAAAACUGCUAAUCUAGAGAUUGAAAGAGGAUAGAGGAAUUCCUAGUGUAGAGGUGAAAUUCGUAAAUAUUAGGAGGAACACCAGUGGCGAAGGCGUCUAUCUGGUUCAAAUCUGACGCUGAGGCGCGAAGGCGUGGGGAGCAAACAGGAUUAGAUACCCUGGUAGUCCACGCUGUAAACGAUGAAUGUUAAAUAUGGGAAGUUUACUUUCUGUAUUACAGCUAACGCGUUAAACAUUCCGCCUGGGGACUACGGUCGCAAGAUUAAAACUCCAAGGAAUUGACGGGGACCCGCACAAGCGGUGGAGCAUGUGGUUUAAUUCAAUGCAACGCGAAAAACCUUACCACUUCUUG